UUAAAAUAGCUAAAAACAUUUAUUUAUACAUGUGUUACUAAAGUAGUUGCUAUGGAAAAUCGGGAGCAUAAUCAUUUAUCUGCUUCCAUGACAGACACAUAGAUCACUGCAGGUCCCUCUCCCCCUACUACUGCUGCUGGGGGGAGGAGACUCCAAGCACCAGAAAAUGAAUGGUCCCCACUGUUCCCUCUAAGGUCCUUUUUCUCACUUAAGUCUAUUAUUGUUUAUAGGAUGUGAUCUAGUGCUUACCCUCUGGGUUUACAAGAUAAGAGGAACCAAGUAUGUUGAUGGUCCCAAAGGGCGCCUCACAUAGUGUUGAGACCCUUCUUUAUGAAAUGCCACUUUCAGGAAAGUGUUACAUUUGUAUCAGGCUCUGACCUUAAUUUUCUUGGUCCGCUCUGGAGGUCACUUGCAGCUUUAAUGAAGAAUUCAUCAAAUGAAUGAAUGGCUUCCUACCUCAAACACCUCAGCCUGAGGGCUUUUUCCAGCUGCAGAAACACAUUAAGUCUGCUGAAGGAGGUCAGAGAUGUGGGGGAGUUAACAUCCACAAAAGCAACCUUCAAACAUUUGUUGGACACGAAGAAACUCAGAGAACGUAGAAUUUAGGUGGAGAUGCAGAGGGUGGAGGCUCUGGAGGAGCUGCAACAACCCUCCUCACCAUCCAGCAAUUUUUACUGUGAGCUACAGAAAAACAGGUGUGAGAGAUAGUGAUCAGUAGAAACCAUAAAAUGCUCAAAAACAAGUGGCUUUGUUCUGAGAGCUGUAUGCUUAACAUUUUCCUUAAGGCUGUAACUCUCCUGGGGGCAAGCUUCCCAGAUCCAUAAGGAUCUGUUUUCAUUUCUGGCAGAAAUGUUUCCCUUGUU